AUUGAACGCUGGCGGCAUGCUUUACACAUGCAAGUCGAACGGUAACAGGCCGCAAGGUGCUGACGAGUGGCGCACGGGUGGGUAAUGGAUCGGAACGGGCCCAGUCGUGGGGGAUAACUACUCGAAAGAGUAGCUAAUACCGCAUAAGAUAUAUGGUUGAAAGCGAGAAACCGAAAGGCCUCGCGCGAUUUGAGCGGCCGGUGUCAGAUUAAGUAGUUGGGGGGGUAAAGGCGCACCAAGCCAACGUUCUGUAGCUGGUCUGUGAAGACGACCAGCCACACUGGGACUGAGACACGGCCCAGACUCCUACGGGAGGCAGCAGUGGGGAAUUUUGGACAAUGGGGGCAAGCCUGAUCCAGCAAUGCCGCGUGCAGGAAGAAGGCCUUCGGGUUGUAAACUGCUUUUGUACGGAAAGAAACGGCUCUGGUUAAUACCCGGGGCUAAUGACGGUACCGUAAGAAUAAGCACCGGCUAACUACGUG
rnacentral:rRNA from 1 species